GAAAAAUUAUAUAAUUUAAGAUACAUUGGUACGUGUAGUGGUACGCGGUAUCACCAUAAUACUAAAACCUUACUGUAAAUUAUUUAAGACACCACACAGCAAUAAAUACUAAUGUAAAACAAAAUAAAAAUGUCUUCAUAGUUUUUAUUCAAAAGUAAUUUAUAGUUCCAAAUGUUUUGUCAACGAUACAUAAAGUUUAUGAUAUUUAGUUAUAUGCUAAAGUAAAAGAAAAGAGGGAAAUGUUAGCAAUUUUUAGAUAAUUUUGGUAUAUAGUAGAUAAAAGUGUUAACCUAGUUUUUCUAAGUAAAAUAAAAACAAUUGUAUUAUUUAAUAUCUUAAACUAGUUAUAAAUAAUGAAAAAAUAAAAGACAUUAUGAUCAAUAAUGAAUUAAAAACUUUUAUUGUUUACUGAAAAGUAGUGAUUAUUCACUUAUUAACUUUCCUACUGUCUACAAAAUAUUUCUAAUGUAACUUUUAAUAACUAUAACAAAACAUAAAUGGCUUAACAUCUAUUAUUAGAUAAAUUGAUACAAGAACUUAGUUGUAUCUCUUAUUUGUCUAUCACAUUAAUUGUUUUUAUAAUUAACAACUAAAUAAAAAGUAGUUCUUUUGAAAAUUAAAUACUUCAUAAUUAUAAAAAUGCGUAAAAACACUAUAUGAAGCAACAAAAAUUAAAUUUUUUUAUGUAUGUAAAUCACCAAAACAUGGACUUGCAACAUUAAUAAAUUUAGUUAAGGGGGACGAAGUGGCCGAGUGGAUAAUGCGUCGGUUGCAAUGCGCACCAUUGAUGGUUCGAACCUCAAUCACGUUGGCACUUUUCUCUGGGCAGUCAUGGUGUCUGGAGAGAGUGGCCUCUACCCCCCCCCCCCCCCCGGGCAUGGCAGAAACCUACGAGUGCCCACUAGAAAUUAUGCCAAAAACAAAACACACUUGUUAAAAACCUAUCAUACCAAACCCUACCACUACCACAAUUACCCUACUAACAGCUAAUGGCCAUAGUUCCCGGACUUAAAAAAAAAAAAAUUUAGUUAACCCUUGAAUAAUAUAUUCAGUAGUUAUAAAUAUAUUAUUUCAAGUUGAGUAAUUACUAAUUACUAAUUGCAAACAGAUGUGUUCUAAUCAUGAAGAGCCAAUUAAAAUGUGUUGUACAGAUAUUAAUGAAAACUAGCAGUAAUUAAUAAUAAUAAUAUACUAAUAAGGAAAUUUAAGCAAAUAACAUAACUAUUUCCUUUAAUAUACAGUAUGCUCACCAAUUUAAGAAACACUCAAAUAUUGCGCUGGUUAUGCAGUUGAACUGAACAAAGAAUUUUUUAAGAAUUUAGGAGUAACCUAAAUCCACAUUUCUAAGAAUACAUCAUAUUGUCACCUCUCAGUAUAUGAGCAUAAACUUAUAUAUUUUAGAACAGCAAAAGCAUUUAAAAAUAUAAUUUUCAGGUGGCUAUUUUUUUCAAGCAAUUUUGACUUAACAACUAUGGCACUAAAAUUUAAAUUGAACGAGUCAAGCAAAAUGCGUGUCUACGGGGGAGGCAGGGUGGGCACCGGCCUCCCCAGCGACGUUCUUGGCCUCUUGGAUUAUAAUGGUGAAACCACGAAUAUAAUAGAAUAUAUUAUAGAUUAUAUUUAUAAGUAUAGUAUAUCCGUGGCUGAAGCAGUAAUUGAUCGAUAAGAAAUGUUAUCAAUGUCAAUAAAGUUUUCGUCUAUAGAUUGGUUACGUAAUAAUCACGGACUAUAUUAUAGUGACUAUAAUAUUAUAGUCUAUAAUCGGUAUUUAAAUCGUAGUUUUGUAAUUUGUUAUUUUGUCUAUGUUCUAUGUUGGGUUAACUGUUUGUGUUCAAUGUUUCAAAAUUGUUAUUAUGUAUAUUAGGUAAAUAAAUAUUGUAAUUUUUUACUUUUGUAGUAACCAUUAAUCAAUAAACUUUAUUACUAAUUAGUUACAUUAGUUAUACCUAACUGAUAAUAUUUGUGUUGAUCAAUGUUGUAUAUUUAUGUUUGUAUAUAAUAUACUUCAUAUUAUUUAAA